GCGGACGGGCGGCGGCGUGGAACCCCUCGGGGAGCGCUGAGCCCCCCCGCCCGGCCCGGGACCACCGCCCAUGGAUCGACUGCUGCUGCUCUGCGCUGCUCUCGCCCUAUUUCUGCCCUAUAGCGCCUCCGACAGCGGUGCUCCAGGUUCCCCUCGUGGUGCCCACGCAGCACCCAUGCAUGCUCAGGAUCCCCUCGUGGUGUCCAGAGUGCACCUCAGUUGUCCCCCAGUGCGUGCCUGCAACACUCCCCCAGCAGCAUCCGUGGAAGCUGCGGUUGAUUU
rnacentral:lncRNA from 1 species